AUUCUUACAAUGUCUGGUUUAAGUUAACAAACACUUAACCAGACAUUGUAAGAACGG
rfam:Acyrthosiphon pisum strain LSR1 Contig24596, whole genome shotgun sequence.